GGAGAGAGCAAGGAAGAGAGAGAGAGAGAGAGAGAGAGAGAGAGAGAGAGAGAGAGAGAGAGAGAGAGAGAGAGAGAAAAAAGCCAGGGAGAACGGGGAGAAGUGUGAAGCGAGUAAGAGGGGAAAAAAGUCAGAGUAGAGAGAAGCAGAGGGAAGAGAGAGUGAAGAGAGAGGGAAGAGAGAGAGAGAGAGAGAGAGAGAGAUAAAGAGAGAGAGAGAGAGAGAGAGAGAGGGGUAGGGAAGAGAAAAUCCAGCGGAGGGAGCAGAGACAAAGCAUGAUGGAGGAAGUGAAGUGUACUCGGCAGCAUGUGGACCAUGUGCUCAGCAUGUAACUGCGGAGUGUCGCGCCCUGGAAAGGUGUCUGCAACCCCGGGCUCCCUCCUGCACGACUCUUGGUGUUUGCAACAGCAAGGGGCGGAGGAAGAAAACUGGAGUCUGGAGAUAGACAACCAGAAGAAGCUGAAAUCGCCAAGGUGAAGAUGAUUGACAAAGUGGAGAUGAUUGACAUUGGUCAUCCAUUCUUCUACCGAAUGGAUCCUGAUGAUCAUGAUGAAGAUUCUGAAGAUUCUUCCAAGCAGCAAAGUCAUCCACGUGGAUCCUCUCUAUCUGUGACCCAGUCCCUCGAUCUCCCCAUCCCUCUCCUCCAUUCAUUUACUCUGUAUUUGCGUGUUGGUCAGUUGCUCAGUAGGCAGUGUAGAUCCUGUAUAAUGAUCAGCAGCUACAUCUGGCUACUGGGUCUCUGAAGACACGCCUCCUACUUCCUGCCUAGUGGUUAAUUGCACAUUUCAUUUCUCUCUGAUUGGCUAGUAUGUUAUCAUAUGGGGGGGUUACAUCCUAUGAAUCUCUCUGUGCCUGUCAGGGCUUUAUUUCUGAUUCUUUUCUUUCUGUCUCUUUUCUUUUUAAUCUCUUCUUUUUCUCUCCUCUCCUGUCAAAUCUCUUCUCCCGCUGUAGCGUCCUUGGCGGUGAGCCAUUCAAAGGGUUCUUGGUAUUCUUUAAUGAAUUGUGCUGUUUUCUAAAAGAUGCUGACUGGCGGCCCAUAGAAAAGAGAUUGACGAGAGCAGAGAAAAACAUGUCAGGCACAAUAGAAAAGAGCCUUUAAGAGAGGAGAGCAUUGUUUAGGAUGUGAUGCAUGCAGUUUCCCUAGAAAUCACUCAAUAGAGAACAGAUGAAAUGCCACAUUCUAUGAUAACUCUGUGUGUAUGCAUGGGUGCGUGAGUGGGUGCGGGUGUGUUUGUGUGUGUGUGUGUGUGUGUGUGUGUGUGUGUGUGUGUGUGUGUGUGUGUGUGUGUGUGUGUGUGUGUGUGUGUGUGUGUGUGUGUGUGUGUGUGUGUGUGUGUGUGUUUGUGUGUGUGUGUGUGUGUGCGUGAGACAGCUGAUGAGACAUCUUUGCUUGGUCCUGGACCUAGCAUACAAUGUAGAUUUCUGUGUGGUUUAAGCUACAGCUACAUUGUCUGCUGGGUUUUAGGCUGGCAACAAAAACAGCCUUGAACCGCUGAAGGAUUUCAAUAACUGGCAACAUAAACAGCCUUCAACAGCUGAAGGAUUCAAUAACUGGCAACAAAAACAGCCUUCAACAGCUGAAGGAUUCAAUAACUGGCAACAUAAACAGCCUUCAACAGCUGAAGGAUUCAAUAACUGGCAACAAAAACAGCCUUCAACAGCUGAAGGAUUCAAUAACUGGCAACAAAAACAGCCUUCAACAGCUGAAGGAUUCAAUAACUGGCAACAAAAACAGCCUUCAACAGCUGAAGGAUUCAAUAACUGGCAACAUAAACAGCCUUCAACAGCUGAAGGAUUCAAUAACUGGCAACAUAAACAGCCUUCAACAGCUGAAGGAUUUAAUAACUGGCAACAAAAACAGCCUUCAACAGCUGAAGGAUUCAAUAACUGGCAACAAAAACAGCCUUCAACAGCUGAAGGAUUCAAUAACUGGCAACAAAAACAGCCUUCAACAGCUGAAGGAUUUAAUAACUGGCAACAAAAACAGCCUUCAACAGCUGAAGGGUUCAAUAACUCAAUGACUCAACGAGGUAAGUUCACAUUCAUUCUGCAACUAUGUGUCAAAUGUUUCACAUUGAAAAUACAAUAAUUGAAAAAUAUGUAAUAAACAUAUAUAUACACAAGUA